rnacentral:lncRNA from 1 species
CGCAAAUAUAGUGCCAAAGGUUUAUGCCCAGGCAUAUGGGCUCUUUUGUAUAUUCAAAUUGGUCUGUACAGCAACAGCAGAGCAGGGAAGGUGGGUGUGUACGUGUGCUAGUACAGCAGAUUGGAUCGUGACUGCAGAGAGGUAAAUUGGAUUACUUUGCAUUUUCCAUGAAGCAAUCUAUUCUAUUCUCUUGCUUGCAAAUCUUUCACAUGAUUUUUGGUAGACAUGCUUCAAUUUUUGUCUUAGAGUCUACUGGGAAGAGUCAACUCCAGCAGGACCCUUUAUACUCCUCUGCCACUGCUGAGGCGUUGACAGGAAAUGAACAUCUGUUCAUCCAGCUGCUCUUGAAGCAACCUAUUACAAGAAGCAAUUAAGAACACCAUGAGCAUAUCCUCCCAGGUACGUAUUAACUGUUUAUUUGUGUCCAUGAUGGAUCAACAGAAGUUGUUUGGGAAAGUAAUUUAACACAACCUAGCCCAGAUGCUGCUGCUGAAACACUACCAGGAAAUCUUUAUGGCAAAAUCAUCUGAGCAAGACUGGCCAAAUAAAAAAUAAUCCUAUCCAGUUUAUAACCUAUGC